rnacentral:rRNA from 1 species
UACGGGGGGGGCAAGCGUUGUUCGGAAUUACUGGGCGUAAAGGGCUCGUAGGUGGCCAACUAAGUCAUACGUGAAAUCCCCAGGCUCAACCUGGGAACUGCGUCUGAUACUGGAUGGCUUGAAUUCGGGAGAGGGAUGCAGAAUUCCAGGUGUAGCGGUGAAAUGCGUAGAUAUCUGGAGGAAUACCGGUGGCGAAGGCGGCAUCCUGGACCGAUAUUGACACUGAGGAGCGAAAGCUAGGGGAGCAGACGGG